UAAGGACUGUACCAAACAAUACAUGGAGGUCAUUGCUUGUCCACAGUGAUCUAAAUGUUAGAGGAGGAUAUUAGUGAAGCUAACCACAGUCUACUUUUUCUGCUUCUAUUUUGUGAUCCAUGAUGUCCAAUCCCAAUCUGCUAGCCAAUGGACGGCAAACAUGCCGACACAUAUUCCGACUUAUAUAAAUACUGGAUUGUGUAAAAACAGGAGGGCAACAUGGGAAAAGAUGCCCCUCUUAAGGACAUUGUACACAUACGCUUGAUGUUAGAAUGUAAUAUGAUUGUGUAUAAACCAACACAGUUUUGGGGGGUGUGG